AAACUAACUAGGAUUCCCUUAGUAACGGCGAGUGAACCGGGAUGAGCUCAAAUUUGAAAUCUGGCGUCUUUCAGGCGUCCGAGUUGUAAUCUAUAGAGGCGUUUUCCGCGCCGGACCGCGUCCAAGUCUCUUGGAAUAGAGUAUCAAAGAGGGUGACAAUCCCGUACUUGACGCGACAACCGGUGCUCUGUGAUACGUUCUCAACGAGUCGAGUUGUUUGGGAAUGCAGCUCUAAAUGGGUGGUAAAUUCCAUCUAAGGCUAAAUAUUGGCGAGAGACCGAUAGCGAACAAGUACCGUGAGGGAAAGAUGAAAAGCACUUUGGAAAGAGAGUUAAACAGCACGUGAAAUUGUUAAAAGGGAAACGAUUGAAGUCAGUCGUGUGAAAGGUAUUCAGCCGUCUCUGGCGGUGUAUUUGCCUUUCACGGGUCAACAUCAGUUUAGUCCGGUAGAAAAAGGCUGGAGGAAGGUGGCAUCUUCGGGUGUGUUAUAGCCUCCUGUCAUAUGUGCCGGAUUAGACUGAGGAACGCAGCUUGCAGCAAUGCCGGGGUUCGCCCACGUACAAGCUUAGGAUGUUGACAUAAUGGCUUUAAACGAC
rnacentral:rRNA from 1 species